rnacentral:lncRNA from 1 species
AUUGACGUCAAAUGUCUACAUCAAUAUUGCAUGAUAUACAGAUAAGCUUUGAAGAUAUUUUCCGUACGCAAUGUAUACCAAAAACUAUAGAUCAUAGGUUGAAUUGAUGACUUACUUCUUCGUUUACUGGAACAUGAAAACGGCAAAAAUGCUGCUGCUGUAAUCAUAAUUCAGACACACACAACCAAUACGAACAGGUUGUUUUUCUUCGUUAUUCUUCGUAAUAUUCGCCUGUAGCCUAUAUCAUUAGGCUAUACUGUCAUCAGUGAUUAUCCCAGCGCGUUUACGUUGAUAUUGUUUUUAAUUUUGAUUUGGGGUUUUUCACGAGCGGCAAUAAGAAGUUUGCACUCUGUCGUUAUCAAGGGCAUCUUCUAAAGGCUAGUUGUUUGUUAUUAGCAUUUUUAUGGGCUCCUAUACAUUAAAAAGAUGACAUUUAUUGAGUGAGUCACAAGUUGCUGCUUAUAUUCCACCCGUAUCCAGCCAAAACUGUCUGAUUCGGACUGUCGCGCCAAGUGAAUUUACGUCGACAAAAGAGCAUCAAGCCGGUAAAGUGCAGUGUGUCACCGCACAACCAAGAUGUUGAAUCACUGGCUAACGUUAAAGAAGCCAAAGAUUCUUGAAUUAAAAGGAUACAAGUGACGGUCGGCAGCACAUGGUUCUACGUCGAUGAUAUACACCGAAUCAAACGUAACGAUGAUGUUGUUAUGUGUGUGAAUAUAACGGUGUGUACUCUACGUUGGUAUGGAUUCAGCCUAUUGCGGCCUGCAGGACUAUAAGAGAUCCGGGAAACGAUGGGGGAAAAUGCAGCAAGGCAGCUGGUUUUUCCCAACAACAGUGCUGAAAUCCCAUCCCACGCUGGCGGCAGGCUCGGUCCUUUUUUCAUUUAUUUUUCUAUUUUAUUUAUAAAUACACGUACUGCAUAUCCAUUGCUUAUUUUUAUUUUCAAACAUUUUUUGUUUUCUUUUGUUUUCUUUUGUUUUGUUGUGUUUGUGUUUUUGUUUUUGUUUUUGUUUUUGUUUUGUUUUUUUGUUUUUGUUUUUUUUUUUUUGUUUUUGUUUUUUGGAAUUUGUUUCCAUCCCAAAUAGUCUACGUUUGAAGAUCGUGCUUUCUUUUCGUUUCCAGACGAUGGGCUUUUCUUUUAUUUGCCGAUUGAUAUUUGGCUUCGGAGAAGUAAUAUAAAGUGAAACGUUCGAUGGCAAGCCUGUUUCAUUCACUCAUUUUUUUAUUCGGCUUUCCAAGAACAGAACUUUUCUUUUCUUCUCCCAUCCGUAUCCAUCUUAUCCCA